GAUGAAGAACGUAGCAAAAUGCGAUAAGUAAUGUGAAUUGCAGAAUUCAGUGAAUCAUCGAAUCUUUGAACGCACAUUGCGCCCGCUGGUAUUCCGGCGGGCAUGCCUGUUCGAGCGUCAUUUCAACCCUCAAGCCCCCGGGUUUGGUGUUGGGGAUCGGCUCUGCCCUUCUGGGCGGUGCCGCCCCCGAAAUACAUUGGCGGUCUCGCUGCAGCCUCCAUUGCGUAGUAGCUAACACCUCGCAACUGGAACGCGGCGCGGCCAUGCCGUAAAACCCCAACUUCUGAAUGUUGACCUCGGAUCAGGUAGGAAUACCCGCUGAUCUUAAGCAUAUCAAUAAGCGGAGGA
rnacentral:misc_RNA from 1 species